GUGCUCACUUUGGCAGCACAUAUACUAAAAUUGGAACAAUACAGAGAUUAGCAUGGCCCCCAUGCAAGGGAAUGUAAAAUGGUGCCACCACUUU
rnacentral:snRNA from 1 species